AGGACGAACGCUGGCGGCGUGCUUAACACAUGCAAGUCGAACGGAAAGGCCCUUUCGGGGGUACUCGAGUGGCGAACGGGUGAGUAACACGUGGGUGAUCUGCCCUGCACUUUGGGAUAAGCCUGGGAAACUGGGUCUAAUACCGAAUACACCUUGCUGGCUGCAUGGCCUGGUGGGGGAAAGCUUUUGCGGUGUGGGAUGGGCCCGCGGCCUAUCAGCUUGUUGGUGGGGUGAUGGCCUACCAAGGCGACGACGGGUAGCCGGCCUGAGAGGGUGUCCGGCCACACUGGGACUGAGAUACGGCCCAGACUCCUACGGGAGGCAGCAGUGGGGAAUAUUGCACAAUGGGCGCAAGCCUGAUGCAGCGACGCCGCGUGAGGGAUGACGGCCUUCGGGUUGUAAACCUCUUUCAGUAUCGACGAAGCGCAAGUGACGGUAGGUACAGAAGAAGCACCGGCCAACUACGCGCCAGCAGCCGC
rnacentral:rRNA from 1 species